rnacentral:rRNA from 1 species
GAUGAACGCUGGCGGCGUGCCUAACACAUGCAAGUCGAGCGGCAGCGAGGGGUGCUUGCACCCUGUCGGCGAGCGGCGGACGGCUGGGUAACGCGUGGGAACGUGCCCCAAAGUGAGGAAUAACUGCCCGAAAGGGUAGCUAAUACCGCAUAUUAUCUUCGGAUCAAAGGAUUUAUCCGCUUUGGGAGCGGCUCGCGUCGGAUUAGGUAGUUGGUGAGGUAAUGGCUCACCAAGCCGACGAUCCGUAGCUGGUCUGAGAGGAUGACCAGCCAGACUGGAACUGAGACACGGUCCAGACUCCUACGGGAGGCAGCAGUGAGGAAUCUUCCACAAUGGGCGAAAGCCUGAUGGAGCAACGCCGCGUGCAGGACGAAGGCCUUCGGGUUGUAAACUGCUUUUAUAAGUGAGGAAUAUGACGGUAACUUAUGAAUAAGGAUCGGCUAACUACGUG